rnacentral:rRNA from 1 species
CCUACGGGGGGCAGCAGUGAGGAAUAUUGGUCAAUGGGCGGGAGCCUGACCCAGCCAAGUCGCGUGAGGGAAGACGGUCCUAUGGAUUGUAAACCUCUUUAGGCGGGGAGCAAUGCCGGGCACGCGUGCCCUGAGGGAGAGUACCCGCAGAAUAAGCAUCGGCUAACUCCGUGCCAGCAGCCGCGGUAAUACGGAGGAUGCGAGCGUUAUCCGGAGUUAUUGGGUUUAAAGGGUGCGUAGGCGGAUUUUUAAGUCAGCGGUAAAAUGUCCGGGCUCAACCCGGGCCGGCCGUUGAAACUGGGGAUCUUGAGUGGGCGAGAAGUAUGCGGAAUGCGUGGUGUAGCGGUGAAAUGCAUAGAUAUCACGCAGAACUCCGAUUGCGAAGGCAGCAUACCGGCGCCCGACUGACGCUGAGGCACGAAAGCGUGGGGAUCGAACAGGAUUAGAUACCCCAGUAGUC